rnacentral:rRNA from 1 species
UGCGCCUUGCCAGCCCGCUCAGAAACUCAAAGGAAUUGACGGGGGCCCGCACAAGCGGUGGAGCAUGUGGUUUUAAUUCGAUGAUACGCGAGGAACCUUACCCGGGGCUUGAAAUGCAUCUGACCGGCCUUGAAAGAGGUUUUCCCUUCGGGGCAGAUGUGUAGGUGCUGCAUGGUUGUCGUCAGCUCGUGCCGUGAGGUGUCGGGUUAAGUCCCAUAACGAGCGCAACCCCUACCUUUAGUUGCCAUCAGGUUAAGCUGGGGACUCUAAAGGAACUGCCUACGCAAGUAGUGAGGAAGGCGGGGAUGACGUCAAAUCAGCACGGCCCUUACGUCCAGGGCUACACACGUGCUACAAUGGCCGAUACAGAGGGCAGCUACCUGGUGACAGGAUGCAAAUCUCCAAAGUCGGUCUCAGUUCGGAUCGGAGUCUGCAACCCGACUCCGUGAAGUUGGAUUCGCUAGUAAUCGCGCAUCAGCCAUGGCGCGGUGAAUACGUUCCCGGGCCUU